UGUCAGUUUCAGGGCGGGGUGAGAUUCCCCACUGGCGGUAGGGGCAAGGCCCAAGUCCGCGCGCCGCAACAAAAAGAGCGGCUGACCUGGUCAAAGUCCAGGACCAACGGUUAUAGUCCGGAUGAAAGAAACGGAGG
rfam:Olsenella umbonata strain DSM 22620 genome assembly, chromosome: I